GGCUCUCUGUUGCAUGCGUUCCGCGUCCACAUGUUAGACGCACCCGGCGUGUGUUGGUCCGGAUGGGUCCGGACACGCACCCUGGACGCCCGUGUGGGCCGUGGAGAGCGUGUACGCACUUUGCGCCGCAGCCAGGUCCGCUUUGCGCACAGCCGCACACCUGUCGGAUGAGACGAGAGCGGCUCCAGAAGGUGAGCAUCAACCUCAGCCUGUAGUUUCCCACGUUACCGCACAACAGCCCGAGCUUCAGGCAUAUCUGUGCCAGCCACAUGAACAAAAAGCCCUUGGACGGAUGCGCUCAAGCUUUGUAUCCUCCUGAGAAUGACAUUGUUCAGCGCGUGUUUUUGGAAGGCGGAGGAAAGAAAAGAGCCCAUUUUAAACACCCGUGUCGCCAAUUGUUGAAUCUAGGUUUAGUGGCAGCAAAAAAAAAAAGAGGCUGGAAACCGACCAAGUGAAGAAUUUUGAAAGGGAUUAAACUGUGGUCCAAAGCCGACAAGUUGGAUGUAUCCCAAAUUCAGAUGUGGAUAGUGGGAGGAGAAGGCGCAGUCUGCUGUGGAUUAGACCCGUUGACCGUGGCAUCAAGAAUAAAUCAGUUGUAUAGCAACAGGAAUGAUGUCGGUGGAGGAUCCGACUGAGCUCGCUGGUGCUCGUUUCAGGACUUGAGAUGCCCUCUCCUGGUCAACCAGUGACUCUCCGCAGCCCACACUAAAGUAGACUUCAUUGUCCCCAGAAUAUCCUCGGGGGUCUUACUCUGGAUCUGGAGGCGGGCCUGAAAAGGUCAGCGUAGUUUGUGUUACCAAAAGCACAGCGAUAAGCAAGAAAAACAACUUACCUUGUCUUCUACAGCUGUUUAUAGGAUCCAGUUGUUUGCCUUUUCCAAUAAAACUAUUAUUUCACAAUCUAA